ensembl:lncRNA
UGUGUGUGUUACGCUAGCUGUGUGGUGUGUGUGUUACGCUAGCUGUGGUGUGUGUGUGUGUUACGCUAGCUGUGGGUUGUGUGUUUAACGCUAGCUGUGGUGUGUGUGUGUGUGUUACGCUAGCUGUGGUGUGUGUUACGCUAGCUGUGUGGUGUGUGUGUGUUACGCUAGCUCUGGGUUGUGUGUGUGUUACGCUAGCUGUGGGGUGUGUGUGUUAUGCUAGCUGUGGGUUGUGUGUGUGUGUUACCCUAGCUGUGGGUUGUGUGUGUGUGUUACCCUAGCUGUGGGUUGUGUGUGUUACCCUAGCUGUGGGUUGUGUGUGUUACGCUAGCUGUGUGGUGUGUGUGUUACGCUAGCUGUGGUGUGUGUUACGCUAGCUGUGUGGUGUGUGUGUGUUACGCUAGCUGUGGUGUGUGUGUGUGUUACGCUAGCUGUGGGUUGUGUGUUUAACGCUACCUGUGGUGUGUGUGUGUGUGUGUGUUAUGCUAGCUGUGGGGUGUGUGUUUGUGUGUCUGUGUUAAGCUAGGUGGGGGUGUGUAUGUGAUAUGCUAGCUGUGGGGUGUGAGUGUUUAUGUGAGUGUUACGCUAGCUGUGGGGUGUGUGUGUUACUCUAGCUGUGGUUUGUGUGUGUUAUGCUAGCUGUGGGGUGUGUGUUUGUGUGUCUGUGUUAAGCUAGGUGGGGGUGUGUAUGUGAUAUGCUAGCUGUGGGGUGUGUGUGUUUAUGUGACUGUGGGGUGUGUGUGUUACACUAGCUGUGGGGUGUGUGUGUUACACUAGCUGUGGGGUGUGUUUGUUACGCUAGCUGUGGAGUGUGUGUUACACUAGCUGUGGGGUGUGCGCGCGUAUGGGUGCCAUAUGAGUGUGUGUGGAGGGGAGGUGGGAUCCUAUAUUGAUCAUGUUUAGCUAGACGACAUGUCUUUUCUCUGACAGUGGGGUUGGUUUUUUUAUGAUUGGUCUUAUGAUGCCCUAUUUAAAGUCCAUCCAGACUGAUUGGUUAUUCCUUAACCAGUGGUAAAAAAAAUGCUGUUCUUCAAAAGCUGUUCUGGACCAUCUAAUACCACGGUUGUAUUUCUGAAGAUGCUAUUUAAUUUACCUGGGAAAUGGACUGGACUUUCUCUUCUUCGAAUGUGAACUGGACAACUUCUUCUCUCCUUUCAAAUAAACUGGACAUUCUUGGGGGCUUAAAGCCGGACUCCUUGGGGGACAGCAGUUAAGCCUUGAAGUGUGGGCCAGUAACCUGAGCUUAAUGGUUCCAGUUCCCAGAUUGCAUCUGCCGCUGUGCCCUUGAGCAAGACACUUUACUGUUAGAUCAAAUUGCUCCAGGGAUCCUGCACUGUGGCAUACCCUGUGCCUCUCAACCGCACUGCAACAUCACAAAAAAAGGACAGUACAAUUGUAUGCUACUGUACUCUACUCUGUUCUAUUCCUAAUGUACUAUGCUCUUCUUUCUCCUGUCAAAGCCAUAGAGCCAAGGGAUAGAUGGAUCAUAUUCAUUAUUUUCUACUGAUCUCCCUGAACUGUUCUAGUUGUUAACAUUGUCUGUAAAUAGUUCUGAUUGUUUGUGUGUUGCAUUAAUUAUUGUCUUAUUCCGAUGGCCAAACAGUUAGACUUCCUGUAGUUGAAUGUACCCGUCUCUGUUCUCUGAGCGAAUGUGUGUGAUCUAACCAGUAGACGGCUAUGUUGUCGUAUAUUCAGAGCCAUGAUUUAUCGUACGCUUGAGGGAGAAGUUGUCCCUAACCACCGAUCUAGGAUCAGAUUAGCCAACUCCAAAGCUUAGCCAUUGGGGAGGAUACAAAAAGAUAUGACCCAGGAGCAGUGGUUAGGGACAAUGGCUCCCAACCCCAGACAGUAUAUGACCAUGAUUGUUUUCUGUUCUUGUUUUUUACUGGAUGGACUUCCUCAUUCGUGUGCUGUGACCUGGUGUUGUGUAGCAUAUUGUAUUCUAUAACUAAUUGUUUCUCUCAAACAGGAAAUGCUCCUAUGCCUCUUUUUUGAAUCCUCUACAGACGCCUACCUAUCCAGUAACAACAUGAUAUGGUAUAUACUAUAUAAUCGUUUCAUGAGACUCCUCCCUGAUGCUUGAAUAAAACACUGUCCAGAGAAUCAUAUUAAGUCAAUGUAAAUACAGUAUUUCCAUAGCUGGACAUAUUCCACCAAACCCGCAUUGCAUACUGUACACAGUGUCUGUACGCAUAUAGGCAGCAGUAGUUUCUAAAUGCAGGCACUGUGUAAACAAUGCUUUUGCGGGUUUGAUUGAAUCCCGGCCAGAGGAUUCAUGUCUCUGUUUAACGCUGUGAAGAGUCUGACUCAGUAGAAAUGUUAAAAUGGUCUGACCAUCUGUGUGUUCCUCUGACGGGUCUGUCUCUGUGAUGAAACAUGGUGGACUAUUAAAAGAGAGCAGG